ensembl:rRNA 5S_rRNA 5S ribosomal RNA
GUCUAUGGCCAUACCACCUGAACGUGCCCCAUCUCGUCUGAUCUCAGAAGCUAAGCAGGGUCGAGCUUGGUUAGUACUUGGCUGAGAGACAGCCUAGGAAUACCAAUUUUGGCAGCAGGAU